UACGUAGGCAGCGAGCGUUGUUCGGAGUUACUGGGCGUAAAGGGUGUGUAGGCGGUUGCUUAAGUUUGGUGUGAAAUCUCCCGGCUCAACUGGGAGGGUGCGCCGAAUACUGAAUGACUCGAGUGUGGGAGAGGUGAGUGGAAUUCCUGGUGUAGCGGUGAAAUGCGUAGAUAUCAGGAGGAACACCGGUGGUGUAGACGGCUCACUGGACCAUAACUGACGCUGAGACACGAAAGCGUGGGUAGCAAACAGG
rnacentral:rRNA from 1 species